AGUGAACGCUGGCGGUAGGCCUAACACAUGCAAGUCGAACGGCAGCACAGUAAGAGCUUGCUCUUACGGGUGGCGAGUGGCGGACGGGUGAGGAAUACAUCGGAAUCUACUUUUUCGUGGGGGAUAACGUAGGGAAACUUACGCUAAUACCGCAUACGACCUACGGGUGAAAGCGGGGGAUCUUCGGACCUUGCGCGAUUGAAUGAGCCGAUGUCGGAUUAGCUAGUUGGCGGGGUAAAGGCCCACCAAGGCGACGAUCCGUAGCUGGUCUGAGAGGAUGAUCAGCCACACUGGAACUGAGACACGGUCCAUACUCCUACGGGAGGCAGCAGUGGGGAAUAUUGGACAAUGGGCGCAAGCCUGAUCCAGCCAUACCGCGUGGGUGAAGAAGGCCUUCGGGUUGUAAAGCCCUUUUGUUGGGAAAGAAAAGCAGCAGGUUAAUACCCCGCUGUUCUGACGGUACCCAAAGAAUAAGCACCGGCUAACUUCGUG
rnacentral:rRNA from 1 species